rnacentral:rRNA from 1 species
AGUGAACGCUGGCGGUAGGCCUAACACAUGCAAGUCGAACGGCAGCACAGUAAGAGCUUGCUCUUACGGGUGGCGAGUGGCGGACGGGUGAGGAAUACAUCGGAAUCUACUUUUUCGUGGGGGAUAACGUAGGGAAACUUACGCUAAUACCGCAUACGACCUACGGGUGAAAGCAGGGGAUCUUCGGACCUUGCGCGAUUGAAUGAGCCGAUGUCGGAUUAGCUAGUUGGCGGGGUAAAGGCCCACCAAGGCGACGAUCCGUAGCUGGUCUGAGAGGAUGAUCAGCCACACUGGAACUGAGACACGGUCCACACUCCUACGGGAGGCAGCAGUGGGGAAUAUUGGACAAUGGGCGCAAGCCUGAUCCAGCCAUACCGCGUGGGUGAAGAAGGCCUUCGGGUUGUAAAGCCCUUUUGUUGGGAAAGAAAAGCAGCAGGUUAAUACCCCGCUGUUCUGACGGUACCCAAAGAAUAAGCACCGGCUAACUUCGUG